rnacentral:rRNA from 1 species
GACGAACGCUGGCGGCGUGCUUAACACAUGCAAGUCGAACGGAGAGGCCCUGCUUUUGUGGGGUGCUCGAGUGGCGAACGGGUGAGUAACACGUGAGUAACCUGCCCUUGACUUUGGGAUAACUUCAGGAAACUGGGGCUAAUACCGGAUAGGAGCUCCUGCUGCAUGGUGGGGGUUGGAAAGUUUCGGCGGUUGGGGGUGGACUCGCGGCUUAUCAGCUUGUUGGUGGGGUAGUGGCUUACCAAGGCUUUGACGGGUAGCCGGCCUGAGAGGGUGACCGGCCACAUUGGGACUGAGAUACGGCCCAGACUCCUACGGGAGGCAGCAGUGGGGAAUAUUGCACAAUGGGCGGAAGCCUGAUGCAGCAACGCCGCGUGCGGGAUGACGGCCUUCGGGUUGUAAACCGCUUUCGCCUGUGACGAAGCGUGAGUGACGGUAAUGGGUAAAGAAGCACCGGCUAACUACGUG